rnacentral:rRNA from 1 species
CAAGUCGCACGAGAAAGCGGACUUCGGUCUGUGAGUAAAGUGGCGCACGGGUGAGUAACACGUGAAUUAUCUACCUCCGAGUGGGGAAUAACUUCGGGAAACCGAGGCUAAUACCGCAUAACACUUACGAGUCAAAGCAGCAAUGCGCUUGGAGAGGAGUUCGCGGCAGAUUAGUUAGUUGGCGGGGUAAUGGCCCACCAAGACGAUGAUCUGUAUCCGGCCUGAGAGGGCGCACGGACACACUGGAACUGAAACACGGUCCAGACUCCUACGGGAGGCAGCAGUGGGGAAUUUUGCGCAAUGGGGGAAACCCUGACGCAGCAACGCCGCGUGGAGGAUGAAAUCCCUUGGGAUGUAAACUCCUUUCGACCGGGAAGAUUAUGACGGUACCGGGAGAAGAAGCCCCGGCUAACUUCGUGCCAGCAGCCGCGGUAAUACGAGGGGGGCAAGCGUUGUUCGGAAUUAUUGGGCGUAAAGGGCGCGUAGGCGGUUUGAUAAGUUUCAUGUGAAAUCUAUGGGCUCAACCCAUAGUCUGCAUGGAAAACUGUCGGGCUUGAGGAUGGGAGAGGUGAGUGGAAUUUCCGGUGUAGCGGUGAAAUGCGUAGAUAUCGGAAGGAACACCUGAGGCGAAAGCGGCUCACUGGACCAUUUCUGACGCUGAUGCGCGAAAGCUAGGGGAGCAAACAGGAUUAGAUACCCUGGUAGUCCUAGCCCUAAACGAUGAUUGCUUGAUGUAGCGGGUACCCA